GUAGGGAAUCUUGCGCAAUGGGCGAAAGCCUGACGCAGCCAUGCCGCGUGAAUGAUGAAGGUCUUAGGAUUGUAAAAUUCUUUCACCGGGGACGAUAAUGACGGUACCCGGAGAAGAAGCCCCGGCUAACUUCGUGCCAGCAGCCGCGGUAAUACGAAGGGGGCUAGCGUUGCUCGGAAUUACUGGGCGUAAAGGGAGGGUAGGCGGAUAGUUUAGUCAGAGGUGAAAGCCCAGGGCUCAACCUUGGAAUUGCCUUUGAUACUGGCUAUCUUGAGUAUGGAAGAGGUAUGUGGAACUCCGAGUGUAGAGGUGAAAUUCGUAGAUAUUCGGAAGAACACCAGUGGCGAAGGCGACAUACUGGUCCAUUACUGACGCUGAGGCUCGAAAGCGUGGGGAGCAAACAGGAUUAGAAACCCGGGUAGUCC
rnacentral:rRNA from 1 species